CUCCGUCGUUGUCACCGAGCUUUCCAAGAACAUAACUCCCUAUUGCAGGUUCACAUUCUCUUAUUAAUUAGGAAAGAAAAGAACAUAGUUAGCUACUAUUUGAAUCAUGUUUUAAUUAAAAUCAUGCAUAGUAGUGAUUUAUACAUUAAUGUAUCUUCAUACUAAUCCAUAUGUUUUGCCAAAGCUUCUGCUCGUAAGAUUUUUCUUAAUUAGUAGUCUUUUUACAAACGAACAAAUGUACGAAUAAGUAUUUUUGUGCAUGUAUAUAAAAUCAUGGUCAUGCAUGGAUUUGAUUUGACUUUAGGUG
rnacentral:lncRNA from 1 species